rnacentral:rRNA from 1 species
UACGUAGGGGGCUAGCGUUGUCCGGAUUUAUUGGGCGUAAAGAGCGUGUAGGCGGCCAGGUAGGUCUGGUGUGAAAACUCGAGGCUUAACCUCGAGAUGUCAUCGGAAACCAUCUGGCUAGAGUCCGGAAGAGGAGAGUGGAAUUCCUGGUGUAGCGGUGAAAUGCGCAGAUAUCAGGAAGAACACCCGUGGCGAAAGCGGCUCUCUGGAACGGUACUGACGCUGAGACGCGAAAGCGUGGGGAGCAAACAGG